ensembl:snRNA U1 U1 spliceosomal RNA
GUAAUUACCUGGCAGGGAAGAUACCAGGAUCACAACGGAACGUUCCCACAGCAAGGCGUAAUGACUGCUUUCUAGCCAUGCUGGUCCCUGUGAUUUCCUGGAAUAUGGGAAACUCAUCUGCAUAUUUUGUGAUAAUUGACAGUGACAGCUGUUCUCUCCC